AGAGUUUGAUCCUGGCUCAGGACGAACGCUGGCGGCGUGCCUAAUACAUGCAAGUCGAGCGGGUUUACCCUUCGGGGUAAGCUAGCGGCGGACGGGUGAGUAACACGUAGGCAACCUGCCUUCAAGACUGGGAUAACGAUCGGAAACGAUAGCUAAGACCGGAUAGCUGGUUUUCUCGCAUGAGAGAAUCAUGAAACGCGGAGCAAUCUGUGGCUUGAAGAUGGGCCUGCGGCGCAUUAGCUAGUUGGUGAGGUAACGGCUCACCAAGGCGACGAUGCGUAGCCGACCUGAGAGGGUGAACGGCCACACUGGGACUGAGACACGGCCCAGACUCCUACGGGAGGCAGCAGUAGGGAAUCUUCCGCAAUGGACGCAAGUCUGACGGAGCAACGCCGCGUGAGUGAUGAAGGUUUUCGGAUCGUAAAGCUCUGUUGCCCUAGACGAACAGCAUCAGGAGUAACUGCCUGGUGUGUGACGGUAUAGAGAAGCA
rnacentral:rRNA from 1 species